CUGAGGAGCGUGCUGGAAGGUGGCACCGGAGCCCGGACCAUACACGACGGUGGGCCGGCUCCCGGCAAGGUCCUGCGCGAAUCCGCACUCGUAGUAAUUUGGACGUAACGAGUCCCCGCUUUUAUAUUUGGAGAAGAGCUCGAGAAAGAGCACCAGACAGAGAGAGACGGAGGGGAGGGAGAGAGUGAGCGAGAGUCUGUUGUGGUGUUCCCCCUCACGGCCACAACUGACGAGCUGAUCUCGGUGACGACAGGCAGCCAGAGCGGGAGCAGACAAUGCCGCCACCACAAACGCAAUAAUUUUCACACCGAUUCCAUGAAAUAUCCAGCGAUGGAGAAACCAGAGAAGGGGGAGCGGAGGAGGAAAGGCUGGUGCGCAUCACAAUUCCGACGAUAAUUUGCAUCUAUUAUCAGAUCUCCGUCCCAUUGGCUUCUCCGCGCACAAACAAACACGCACGGGCGUGCGCACAUUGACUGCAGUGUCCUGCUGGCGUUGGCUGACUCGCGUCGAAUGGAAAGGGAGCGAGGGGAUGGAGAAAUAUGAAAGAAGAGAGAAUGAGAAGGAGAAUGAGUGUGCGUGCAUUUGCAUGUGAGUGUGCACUAAAACAGACAUUCGAAUUUAGUCCAUUCAAACAUGUAGGUUGAAUAUAAUUUAAAUCUGUAAAAUAUCCUAUAUUAUUUGAUUAAAAUUGAGGAACAGAGGAUGAUAUUACGUCGGUUUACAACAUUUUGAUCAUGGGUAAUGGAAGAUUAAGUCACUGUAUGUGCGCUCGCUUUCAUAAAAGUUUUCACCAAAUGGCGACACGUAGAAUGCGAAACAUAAUUGAAGAGAGAUAAGAGGAUGUAUUCUAUGCAUUACAUCCUUGAGACAACCCCGUCUCCAUGAAUUGCCAAACACUUCUUUUCUUUCGCAUGUGUCAGCAAGUGUAGUUUGUGCUUUGGAGACAAACGAGCUUCAGGGUCUGGACAUAGCAUUCUGAUAAUUGUGUAAAUUCGAUCUUCAUAUACAUGCGGGAAGCGGGGCUGGGUGGGUAAUCAGCUACAGAAAAACGCUAUAAGCGGUUGAGACAACUUCAAAGAUCCAUAAAGCGAACGGGCUGCUGUUUGCUUGUUGAAGUCCUAACAUCACCGAACAAAAAAGCGGGGUUAUAAGCGCCCUUUACUUGAGGGAGGCCGUAAUUGCCCUUAACUGAGCAAGAAUACCACGGCUUUUAAUGAUGGUUCGUCAUGCAGAUGCCCACCCACCCCACCCCCGCCCAACUGUGAGCCGUGCUUCCUAACGAGGGUCAAGUUGUUAUAUGCUUUUCCUUUAGAUGAUCCGACAGGAGAACAGUCAAGCGCACUGAUUGAACCCCAACAGUAUUUAGUAAAUUUAUUCUUGAAGUCUUUGAAUCGUUCAUCAACGUCUGAAUGAGGUCCUCUUAUAGCCUCCGUGUUCUGUCAUUUCUUUUAAUUCUCAUUGUGACUUUAGAAUGUGUUGAUAUAGGUCCAAAUAAAAGUUGGAUCAUAUGUAUAUUUAUUUUGAAGAUUAUAUCGAGCUGUAAAUCACAAUAGUAUACAAUACAGUCAAAAUGGUAUACGUUCUAUUUCACAACACUGGAAAAAACAAUUUCAAUUUACUUGGUUUGAGCAUGUAUCAGUUGCACAAGCGGGGGAGAUGACUUCAGUUUACCACAUUUUCAUCUUUCGCAUCACAAAAAAUCUUAACGUAUUUCAGUGAAGGAGUAUGCAAUCUUGUCAUUAUAUUUAGACUUCCUACUUGAUUGCACUGAUAUCAACACUCCAAACAGUUAGUUCAAUCAAGUUCUUUUGGAGAACACUACUGUAACGUGCCUAAAAAAAGAGAACUAUCUACUUACCCACGAUACACAUCCGCGGUCCCUUCAAAGUAUUCGGAGAAAACAGAUAUGUUCUUUUGUUUGUUUCUUCAAUACAAUACACCAAAAAAUCAGAGGCAUGCUAUCAGUUGUACCUAAAGAAAAUAGAUAUAUUUUGAAGGAUUCUUUUUCAUGUUAGACUAAUCUACAUGUAGCCUUCCAUGCACAGUAACCUGCCCCCACAAUCCACAAAAAAGGACAACAAAUCUGGGUUGUGUACAUAUCAUGAAACAGUAUUGUGCGUUUGAACGGUCACAAUAAUCACUAUAAGGGAGGGAUGGGUCUUCUCUUAAAAAUGGUACAAGAGCGCCAUCAAGUGGAAGAUUAAUAUUUGAUCGAGUAUUUACUUAUCUUGCUUCUGUUCAAUUCCACGCAUCACGUGAACGACUCUAAAAUUGUUUACUCUGGUUGCAGACGAUUAGUAGCAGUCAUUUGGGGCUCAAGAGAAAAAAGAUGAAUCUGUCAAUCACAUUCAUGAUUGCUAAUGUAAUCACUUAAAUUGAGACUAUAAGUGUGGCGUUUAAAUAACAAAUACAAAUGUACUAACCGAAAUAAUAUUUUUAAUAAACAACAAUUAUGAUUAUUAUUAUAAUUAUCAUCACCA